UUCAUCCCACAUAUAAUCUGAAUUACCUCUCCAAUCUGAAUUGCAAGCGUUGGAAAACAUGUUGCCCAUUGAUUGGUUCUAGCCUUGAUAUCCCCAAACAUCUUCAUUGGCAGAAAAUUGAGGACUUUGAUAUCCUUGCCCAUAGGGCACAUCAGGUGUAGGGACACUUGGCAUUGUGGUCCGUUCGGCAUUAUGAGUCAAUUGAGCAGUG
rnacentral:lncRNA from 1 species